rnacentral:rRNA from 1 species
GAUGAACGCUGGCGGCGUGCCUAAUACAUGCAAGUCGAGCGAACAGACGAGGAGCUUGCUCCUCUGACGUUAGCGGCGGACGGGUGAGUAACACGUGGAUAACCUACCUAUAAGACUGGGAUAACUUCGGGAAACCGGAGCUAAUACCGGAUAACAUGUUGAACCGCAUGGUUCAACAGUGAAAGACGGUUUUGCUGUCACUUAUAGAUGGAUCCGCGUCGCAUUAGCUAGUUGGUAAGGUAACGGCUUACCAAGGCAACGAUGCGUAGCCGACCUGAGAGGGUGAUCGGCCACACUGGACCUGAGACACGGUCCAGACUCCUACGGGAGGCAGCAGUAGGGAAUCUUCCGCAAUGGGCGAAAGCCUGACGGAGCAACGCCGCGUGAGUGAAGAAGGUCUUCGGAUCGUAAAACUCUGUUAUUAGGGAAGAACAAAUGUGUAAGUAACUAUGCACGUCUUGACGGUACCUAAUCAGAAAGCCACGGCUAACUACGUG